CGUACACUCCUACGGGAGGCAGCAGUGGGGAAUAUUGGACAAUGGGCGCAAGCCUGAUCCAGCCAUGCCGCGUGAGUGAUGAAGGCCCUAGGGUUGUAAAGCUCUUUCACCGGUGAAGAUAAUGACGGUAACCGGAGAAGAAGCCCCGGCUAACUUCGUGCCAGCAGCCGCGGUAAUACGAAGGGGGCUAGCGUUGUUCGGAUUUACUGGGCGUAAAGCGCACGUAGGCGGACUAUUAAGUCAGGGGUGAAAUCCCGGGGCUCAACCCCGGAACUGCCUUUGAUACUGGUAGUCUUGAGUUCGAGAGAGGUGAGUGGAAUUCCGAGUGUAGAGGUGAAAUUCGUAGAUAUUCGGAGGAACACCAGUGGCGAAGGCGGCUCACUGGCUCGAUACUGACGCUGAGGUGCGAAAGCGUGGGGAGCAAACAGGAUUAGAAACCCUGGUAGUCC
rnacentral:rRNA from 1 species